rnacentral:misc_RNA from 1 species
CUGGAGAGGUGGAAGAGCUGCUUCAUUCAACAUCAUUCCUAGUAGCACUGGAGCUGCUAAGGCUGUUGGGAAGGUGCUGCCUGCUCUGAAUGGGAAACUUACAGGAAUGGCUUUCCGUGUUCCAACAGUUGAUGUCUCUGUGGUUGACCUCACGGUGAGGCUAGAGAAGAAAGCUUCAUAUGAUCAAAUAAAAGCUGCUAUCAAGUGAGUGCAAUUAGCGUUAUACAUGCUUGAGAAAGACAUAAAGUUCCUAAAAAGAUAGCAUGAUGUGUUACCUUUGUAUGGGCAAAUAGGGGAUUUCUACUGCUUGAGAAGUUUAGAGGCUCAAACUUUUAAAUUUAGUGGUCUAUGAUUUAUUUCCUCAAACUUAUAUUAUUUUAUUUAUUUACUUAUUAAAUAUAGGGAGGAAUCAGAGG